rnacentral:lncRNA from 1 species
CACUUUGUGAGGCUUUAUUUUCACAAUUAUACAUACCCUUGGCACAGGAAGACCCUAUCAAAAUUCUGUUAAUUGACUUAAGGUAAAUAGGUUGAUUUUAUGAGACUUUCAGACAAUUAAGUUUGAGAAAGUUUAUGAUUAUCAGGAUUUGUAUACAUGAUCACAAUCAAAAGAAAGAGAUAAACCAAAGAACAAGACUUUCUUAACCCCCCUGAAAACAUAAUAAAUUACAAUUUCUGG